AUCUUCCUAGUACAAUGCCAGUAUAAGUGACUUCCAAUCACAUGAUCUUGGUUAAAAUCCAAGGGAAGGUA
rnacentral:tRNA from 1 species